UACGGAGGAUCCGAGCGUUAUCCGGAUUUAUUGGGUUUAAAGGGUGCGUAGGCGGCCUUGUAAGUCAGGGGUGAAAGACGGUAGCUUAACUAUCGCAGUGCCUUUGAUACUGCAGGGCUUGAAUGUACUUGAGGUAGGCGGAAUGUGACAAGUAGCGGUGAAAUGCAUAGAUAUGUCACAGAACACCAAUUGCGAAGGCAGCUUGCUAAAGUAUGAUUGACGCUGAGGCACGAAAGCGUGGGGAUCAAACAGG
rnacentral:rRNA from 1 species